UGACGUUCGCGGCGGACGGGUGAGUAACACGUGGGCAACCUGCCUGUAAGAGUGGGAUAACUUCGGGAAACCGAAGCUUAUACCGGAUAGGAUCUUCUCCUUCGUGGGAGAUGAUUGAAGGAUGGUUUCGGCUAUCACUUACAGAUGGGCCCGCGGUGCAUUAGCUAGGUGGUGAGGUAACGGCUCACCAAGGCCACGAUGCAUAGCCGAUCUGAGAGGGUGAUCGGCCACUGUGGGACUGAGACACGGCCCACACUCCUACGGGAGGCAGCAGUAGGGAAUCUUCCGCAGUGGACGAAAGUCUGACAGAGCAACCCCGCGUGAGUGAUGAAGGCUUUCGGGUCGUAAAACUCUGUUGUUAGGGAAAAACAAGUACUACAGUAACUGCUUGUACCUUGACGGUACCUAACCAAAAAGCCACGGCUAACUACGUGCCAGCACCCGCGGAAAUACGUAGGUGGCAAGCGUUAUCCGGAAUUAUUGGGCGUAAAGCGCGCGCAGGCGGUUUCUUAGUUCUGAUGUGAAAGCCCACGGUUCAACCGUGAAGGGU
rnacentral:rRNA from 1 species